CCAUGUUUGCCAAAGACAAAGGCUCGUUGGUGCCCUCGGACGGGCAGGCUGGGGAAAAGUUAGCUUUAUACGUCUACGAAUAUUUACUGCAGGUAGGAGCACAGAAAUCUGCACAGACCUUCUUAUCGGAGAUUCUCUGGGAAAAAAAAAAAAAAAAAACAUCACGUUGGGAGAACAGCCUCGGUUUUUGCACUCGUGGUGGUGUGUAUUUUGGGACCUUUACUGUGCAGCUCCUAAAAGGAGAGACACUUGUGAACAUUCAAGUGAAGCAAAAGCCUUUCCUGAUUCUAGUGCAGCAGCUGCCCGGAGCCCCGUGCUUGGCAACAUUCCCCCCAACGAUGGGAUGCCGGGAGGCCGAGUCUCGCCAGGUUUCUUUCAGUGUCCUCCGGGGUCACUGCCCUCACUGCAUGCACAGCCUCCACCUCACAAUCCUAGCAGCAUGAUGGGACCCCACAGUCAGCCUUUUAUGUCACCGCAAUACGCAGGCGGCCCCAGGCCCCCCGAUCAGAAUGGGAAACCAGCCUCCUCCGGAGGAGUUCCUGGGAAACAGCCAUUGCUGCCCAAUUCCAUGGAUCCCACACGACAACAAGGCCACCCCCACAUAGAAGGAUCAAUGCAGAGAAUGAACCCUCCCUGAGGCAUGGUGCCCAUGAGUCCCAGCCCACAGAAUUACGGCAGUGGCAUGAGACCACCACCCAAUUCCCUUGGCCCUGCCAUGCCCGGGAUUAACAUGGGCCCGGGAGCCGGCAGACCCUAGCCCAAUUCUAACAGUGCUAACUCAAUUCCAUACUCCUCCUCAUCACCUGGUACCUAUGUGGGACCCCCUGGUGGUGGUGGCCCUCCAGGAACACCCACUAUGCCCAGUCCCUCAGAUUCAACAAAUUCCAGCGACAACAUCUACACAUUGAUUAAUCUGGUGCCACCUGGAGGCAGCCGGUCCAACUUCCCGAUGGGUCCCAGCUUGGACGGUCCGAUGGGCAGCAUGGGUGGCAUGGAGCCACACCACAUGAACGGAUUGUUAGGGUCAGGCAACAUAAAUGACUUCCAAAAAAUUCUCCUAACAACGUGAAUAGUAUUAGCAAUCUUCCAGGCACCCCUCGAGAUGACGGCGAGCUAGGAGGAAACUUCCUCCACUCCUUUCAGAAUGACAAUUACUCUCCAAGCAUGACGAUGAGUG
rnacentral:lncRNA from 1 species